rnacentral:tRNA from 1 species
UUAUAUUUAAUGUAAAUUAGCAUAUUAAAUUUUGAUUUUAAAAGAAUUAUUAAUAUUAAUAAUAUAAA